rnacentral:rRNA from 1 species
CUACGGGUUGCUGCAGUGGGGAAUAUUGCACAAUGGGCGCAAGCCUGAUGCAGCCAUGCCGCGUGUAUGAAGAAGGCCUUCGGGUUGUAAAGUACUUUCAGCGGGGAGGAAGGGAGUAAAGUUAAUACCUUUGCUCAUUGACGUUACCCGCAGAAGAAGCACCGGCUAACUCCGUGCCAGCAGCCGCGGUAAUACGGAGGGUGCAAGCGUUAAUCGGAAUUACUGGGCGUAAAGCGCACGCAGGCGGUUAGUUAAGUCAGAUGUGAAAUCCCCGGGCUCAACCUGGGAACUGCAUCUGAUACUGGCAAGCUCGAGUCUCGUAGAGGGGGGUAGAAUUCCAGGUGUAGCGGUGAAAUGCGUAGAGAUCUGGAGGAAUACCGGUGGCGAAGGCGGCCCCCUGGACGAAGACUGACGCUCAGGUGCGAAAGCGUGGGGAGCAAACAGGAUUAGAUACCCCUGUAGUC